UACAGAGGAUGCAAGCGUUAUCCGGAAUGAUUGGGCGUAAAGCGUCUGUAGGUGGCUUUUUAAGUCCGCCGUCAAAUCCCAGGGCUCAACUCUGGACAGGCGGUGGAAACUACCAAGCUGGAGUACGGUAGGGGCAGAGGGAAUUUCCGGUGUAGUGGUGGAAUGCGUAGAUAUCGGGAGGAACACCAGUGGCGAAGGCGGUUACCUGGGGCUUUGCUGACGCUGAUGCGCGAAAGCGUGGGGAGCGAUCCGG
rnacentral:rRNA from 1 species